GCUGCAGCUUUCUGCAGCUUUCUUUCAGAAUAAGUUAGGCCUGUGGUACCUUGUGUACAGAUAUGGUGUCCCCAUUAGUUGCCUGAUGUUCCAGCUUCUCGCUCAGCUUUUGACAUGACUGAGUUUCUUUACAGAAGUUGCAAGCCUUCUCUUUGAAACCCAGGAUUAUUGAAAAUGUGUUCUGUUUUAAAGGUUUUUUUUAAUCAACAUUAAAACCUCUAAUAUGAAUAUUUUAUUGCAAAAGGAAACCACACAGGUCCUGCAGUCAUAACCGCAGAUGACUUCCGGUGAGCAAUGACUUCCAGUGAGCACCAUGGUCACUGGUGGCCUUGACCUCAAUAUUUAAAACACUUUAAAAAUUUACAUACCUGUUACCACAUUCAGAAAUCUACAGACGGUCAAGGGGUAUGAUAACUAACCUGAUUAAUGUCAAAUAUGUUGCAGAACUGCCUCCAAAAAACAAAAAGAAAAGAAAAGAAAGAAUUAAACUAUUUCUAUAAGUUAAAGAAUUAAGCUAUAAGUUAUUCUGUAUAUGUUAGGUCAACCUGAUUUUCAAUUUUUUAUUUCCUCUCUGGCAGAUAAGAAAGUAGCCACUUUAAGGAUAUCUGAACUGAAUACCCCUAGUUGGUAUGUUUGUGUUGGGGCCUCUGAGGUCUUUCCUCUCAGGAGCAAGAAAAGGAGUUUAGAUGUCUAUCUUUUCUACUUUGUAUAUAGCUACAAGAUUUUUUUGACAACUACAUCAUUAUCAUUGUAUGCCUUUUUAUUUCAACUAAUGUUCAUUGUUGUGAAGUCUUUAAGCUGGUGAUUCACUAAGACCAGCUUGCUGUGAUAAGACUCUGAGUGGGGCAUCUUCUGAGUGGGGCAUCUUCUGAGACAAAGACCAUAUCAGACUUCCCACCACAGAGAACAGUGCCCUGCAGCAAGUCAGUGCCCUGUCUUCCUGGGCCUGUCUUCCAAAACCUGAAAUGUUUUCUGUGAUGUCCCUUCAUGGUGGUUGACUGAUCCAUUUUCCAGGCCUUGGAUUUUGUUUCCAGGAGAGAAGAACAGAGCAUCAGGAUAGUGGAGCUGGUGUGUUUAAUAUGGGGUGAACACCAGCUGGGAAGAAAAUAGCCCGGGGAACUUCAGCUUGACUGUGAAAGUCCUGCUUCAGAGUCUGCCUCGCUCUCCUAAUGUACAACACUUCUUUUUCUGGAUGCACUCUUCACACUUUAAGCAUUAUACUCAAUUUGAAUCCAUUGUUUAAAAUGUUAAUUUCCUGAACCAUGCAAACCAUCUGACUCGAAUGCUAAAAUUUUCACCUUUAGAAAAAACUUGCAUCAGGCAUGUAUAGUGGUGGCCAGCACCUUUGUCUGGGUGUUUGAUCUGUGUGUAUCCUCUCUAGUUGGUUGAUGUAGAGAUGUGUACCCAGAGGAGACAAUGGGCAGGGAAGACAUGCGAAUGAUAUGUAAGUCUUAGGGUCUGACUAUACCUUGUUCCCCACAGGCUCAGGCAUUUGCAAACUUGUUUCCCAUCUAAUGGUGCCACUCAGGGAGCUUGCGAUGCCUUUGGGAUAUAGGUCCUAUCCGGCAGAGAUAGGCCAGUGGAGAAAGAUAUUGAGGGCUAUAGUUUUCUAUUUUCUGUUUCCUGGUCAGUCAUUACCAUGUGAAGAACAGUCUCAGGAAACUUCGUUCUCACAGAGUGGUCACGGCUGCCUCUUGUUCCCCUCAUUGAUAGACUAUACGUACUGUAGCUGUGGUCUAAAAGAAACCCUGCCUCCUUAAGUUGAUUCCGUCAGAUAUUUGGUCACAGCACUGGGAAAAGUUAACUAUUAAAAUAUGUACAAAAAUGUCAUAUUGAAACCCAUCAUUUUGAGUGCU
rnacentral:lncRNA from 1 species